rnacentral:rRNA from 1 species
AUACGGAGGAUCCGAGCGUUAUCCGGAUUUAUUGGGUUUAAAGGGUGCGCAGGCGGGAGAUUAAGUCGGCGGUGAAAUUUUGCAGCUCAACUGUAAAAGUGCCUUCGAAACUGGUUUCCUUGAGUGUAGAUGAAGUAGGCGGAAUUUGUGGUGUAGCGGUGAAAUGCAUAGAUAUCACGAGGAACUCCGAUUGCGCAGGCAGCUCACUAAACUACUACUGACGCUCAGGCACGAAGGCGUGGGGAUCAAACAGGAUUAGAUACCCUGGUAGUCCACGCAGUAAACGAUGAUUACUAGCUGUUUGCGAUACAAUGUAAGCGGCUGAGCGAAAGCGUUAAGUAAUCCACCUGGGGGGUACGUUCGCAAGAAUGAAACUCAAAGGAAUUGACGGGG